rnacentral:snRNA from 1 species
AUAUUUAGCAACACAUAUAUACUAAAAUUGGAACGAUGCAGAGAAGAUUAGCAUGGCCCCUGCCCAAGGAUGACAUGCAAAUUCGUGAAGCGUUCCAUAUUAUU